CGCGUUAAGUCGACCGCCUGGGGAGUACGGCCGCAAGGUUAAAACUCAAAUGAAUUGACGGGGGCCCGCACAAGCGGUGGAGCAUGUGGUUUAAUUCGAUGCAACGCGAAGAACCUUACCUGGUCUUGACAUCCACGGAAGUUUUCAGAGAUGAGAAUGUGCCUUCGGGAACCGUGAGACAGGUGCUGCAUGGCUGUCGUCAGCUCGUGUUGUGAAAUGUUGGGUUAAGUCCCGCAACGAGCGCAACCCUUAUCCUUUGUUGCCAGCGGUCCGGCCGGGAACUCAAAGGAGACUGCCAGUGAUAAACUGGAGGAAGGUGGGGAUGACGUCAAGUCAUCAUGGCCCUUACGACCAGGGCUACACACGUGCUACAAUGGCGCAUACAAAGAGAA
rnacentral:rRNA from 1 species